AACAAAACGUCAAAGUACAGCGACAGAAAGCUGAAAGAGUGAAUUCCCAGCACAAGUGUCGCUCUAAUGGUACCUUUUAAGCUCACUUAGACUUAAGUAACACUACUCCACCAGGAGUCCACCAUCCAUCUCCAAAAAUCAAUGCAUUAAAUUGAGGCCCCUGGUGACUUUGAAACAUACUGCAUGGGUCUUUUCGGACCAACCACCAUCGUGACUCAUCAAAACCUGAACAUGUUUCUUAUCACUGCAAACACAUGUGAGCCUGCUGGGGUAAUGUCCUGAAUGUCACUGGGUCUUAAAGUGACCAAAGAGAAGAGAACCUCACAACUUCGAGAUGAUUUCCACCCAACAGACCUCUAUUCAUUACAUAUCAGGCCAGACCUCACUGGAGAUUGCGGUCUAUUAGCUUUAUAUCAGCGAUACAAGCGAUGCAUGAGCUGCUACUGGUUUUAAAACGCUUUACGACCGGUCAUUAACGUAUUUGCACACGAUAAGAAGAGGGCCAGCAGGGUUAAACAGACUCCCGCAUAGACACUAUCUCUUGGAAAUAAAACGCUGUAAACACGCCACAAAACAGUCGCGUAACCAAAGAAUAGUUAAGAGUCUGAAACGAGCCACUGUUGCUCAAAUAUUUGGUCUGAACACGAUUGCAUCACAAUGGACUUGUUUUGGUCCAUGCUGUCCUUGUGUACAGAAAACAUGAACCAACAAUCUCCUCAGGCUUUCAUUGAAAGGACCAGUAAUGUUUCAGUUACCAAUAUUAAAGCCAACUAUGAGAAUAUGAGGCUGUUUUACACUGAACUCCGUGUAAUGCUGUAAUAAACUGUUCAUUUAAAGUUUGACACUUUUAACAACUGCUUGUCUUUUUAUUGUGGAAAAAAUUAAAAGGUCCAACCAACUGUC